rnacentral:rRNA from 1 species
GAUGAACGCUAGCGGCAGGCCUAACACAUGCAAGUCGAGGGGCAGCACAUAAAGUGGUUUACUACUUUUGGUGGCGACCGGCGGACGGGUGCGUAACGCGUAUGCAACCUGCCUCCAACAGGGGGAUAACGGAGAGAAAUUUCCACUAAUACCCCAUAAUAUCAGAAUCGGGAUCGGUUUUGGUUGAAAACUCCGGUGGUCGGAGAUGGGCAUGCGUUGUAUUAGAUAGUUGGUGAGGUAACGGCUCACCAAGUCAACGAUACAUAGGGGGACUGGGAGGUUAGCCCCCCACACUGGUACUGAGACACGGACCAGACUCCUACGGGAGGCAGCAGUGAGGAAUAUUGGUCAAUGGGGGCAACCCUGAACCAGCCAUGCCGCGUGCAGGAAGACGGCUCUAUGAGUUGUGAACUGCUUUUACAAGGGGAUAAAUCGGUGUACGUGUACACCGUUGAAGGUACCUUGGGAAUAAGGAUCGGCUAACUCCGUGCCAGCAGCCGCAGUAA